AGCUUUGCGCAGUGGCAGUAUUGUCGCCAGUGAGGUUUAUCUGAGGCGUGAUUAUUACUGAUUGAAAACUUUUCUCGCCUUGAUGACUUGCAAUAUAGUUGUCCCUGUCAAUUUUUGACAGUCUCUAUGGAGA
rnacentral:snRNA from 1 species